UUCACUUGUUGAGGGGUUGGUUUUAUUUUUAUAACGCUUAAGUUCUGAGUUUCACAUCAGAUGAAUUUUUACAAUGCUAAUUGUUAUGUUUAUCAAUUUUUUACGGUGCAGUUGUUACAUAUAUCUCUAUUCUAUUAUAAUUUUGACUAAGCAGGUUAUAAUAUUUAUAAAUUAAAUGAAUUAGGAAAUGAACAAUAUACGACGCCUAACCCAUACCAGUCACAACCCUCCCUUUAAGCCACUCAAGUUCGCACGCCGACGCUGGUCAGUGGAAAACAGCUAACAUUUUCAGUUUCCGGUUUUAUAGCAAAUCGUAUUGAACCGUGUAGUAUCUAGAUGGUACAGAGCUCCUGAGCUUCUGUUUGGCGCCAAACAAUAUGAUCAAGAUGGAUGACCAUGGCAAUGAGACAAGGCAGGCAGCUGGGGAGAGGAGUGAGCACGCUCCAAUGUCUUUGGAUUUUUCAGUUUUUGGCAUGAGGCCGCCAAAUAGACCAACUAUUAACAGGAGCAGAUGAGGGAGAUAUGCUCAAAAGUCAUACCCACUAUGUAUGAAGGAGCAGCUGAAACUCAUCAAAGUUGGAGCAUGAAGGUGCUUCUGUGAAGUUUCUUUUUUUUUUUUUUUUUUUUUGAGUUAGGCUCAAAACAUUAUGUAUGAAGGUUUUGGAUGA